CAGGACUCAAUGGCCUAUAUGGGUUUCCUUUGUUCCAAAAGGGAUCUUUACACUUGGUUUCCUCAUCUCUUUACGGACUAUGAUAAAACCAAUAUGGCUCGUCUUGCACCCUGCCCUGGAACGGUGGAAACAACCAGAACCACGUUUAGGUUCGAGUCGUCCACUCGCCAUUUCAGAGCCAAACACGUCCAGAGUAUAAACGCCGGUUUGACCUUGCCUCAAGGGUAUAUCUAAAUAUCUAAGACAAGCAUAUUCAGGUAGUCCUUUUUACAAAAAUAUUUCUUGUAAUAUUUAAAUCACAAACAAUCCAAAACCUAAUAGAAAACCGAUGGAGGGAAAACGUUCUCAUUGUGAAAAUAUUUACCUCAACACUUUGGUGAAUGCAGUUAACAGGCCUAAACGCAGGGACAGGAGGGAUGUUUUCAGCCCCAUCUUCGGAUCCUCUAAUAAUGGCUUUAAUAGGGGGUGGGAAUGCGUCUCCUGAAAAGGAAGGAAUUCCAUUAGCACGACAGUUAGACCUCUUUUCAAAAAGUCUCUUUUUUUUCCCUCUCAUCACUGGCAAGCAUACCCCAUCUGACAGCCAGCGAAAAUGCAUCUUCAAGCAUCAUCUGUGUGGGCAAUAUGCAAAACCAUCUCUUCUCCUCAAGACAGGAUUGCAGUCGAGUAUAACCUCGUCCAUUUUCGACAUUUCUAACUGAGCUACAUCAUUUAAACCUACAUGGAAAUGUUUUAAUAAGGUAACGGAUUUUUUUAGCUAUUUAAUCAAAUUUUUUAAUUGCUUAUACGUGAACAUAUUAGCCACAGACGUUUAAAACUUGACAAGACGAUUAUAGGGAAAACUGCUGUAGCCCACAUUUUUAAUGAUACAGCAAACUUACAGUUGAUAUUCAAAAUAUGUAAUCCAAGUCUUAAACGAGCAAAAAGCAAUCUUAUGAGGAGGAAAUCUUGUGUUUUUCUACUGAUUUCUUACAUCCAAAUAAACCUUUUGGUGUUCAGGAGGCUGCUCUUGCUCAGUUCUCUGUCUCAAAAUGGCUUCUUCACAGACAAAAGGAGUACUGUGCUGUGAAAUGUUGCUGCGCCAUAACUGGGUGAGGCUCUGGAAAGCGCCCUUAUUUUUUUCGUCGGAACACUUCCUUCUGUGUUUUCGGCACUAAGAAACAAAUAUGACGACUGUAACGAAUGUGGUUAUCGUCCAAAUGCUGUUUAGUUAAAAAAAAAAAAA